AGAGAUGUGUGAUGACGCAUAUCAAUAAGCGGAGGAAAAGAAACUAACAAGGAUUCCCCUAGUAACGGCGAGUGAAGCGGGAAGAGCUCAAAUUUGAAAUCUUAAAGGGUUUCCCUUUACGAAUUGUAGUUUAAAGAAGUGUUUUCUGUUGGAGUUUCGGUAAAAGUUCUUUGGAAUAGGACAUCAUAGAGGGUGAGAAUCCCGUAUUUGACCGUUACUUUCCAGCUGUGUGAUACACUUUCAAAGAGUCGGAUUGUUUGGGAAUGCAGUCCAAAAUGGGUGGUAAAUUUCAUCUAAAGCUAAAUAUUGGCGAGAGACCGAUAGCGAACAAGUACCGUGAGGGAAAGAUGAAAGAACUUUGAAAAGAGAGUUAAACAGUACGUGAAAUUGUCAAAAGGGAGGCGUUUGACACCAGUGUUGUUUAGUUGAAAAUCAAUUCAAUAAUUUUUGAUUUUGAGUAGUAUUGACUUCAUCAGCUUGCUGCUUUCUUUUCAGAAAUUAUUGAAUGCACUUUUCAGUUAACAAGUCAACAUCAAUUUCUUUUGUUGUAAAAGGGUAAGAGGAAGGUGGCUUACGCUUCGGCGUAAGUGUUUAUAGCCUUUUACCUCUGCAAUCGGAGAGAUUGAGGUCUGCAGCGUAGAUCCUUCGGGGUUAGAUACAUUUGUGCUAAGUUAUAGCUUUUCAUAGACAACUUGUUGACUAUGUUUAGUCUUGUGACUUACUCGCUGAUGCUAUUUUACCUACGCUUAGGAUGUUGACGAUCAGCUGAGCGCG
rnacentral:rRNA from 1 species